rnacentral:rRNA from 1 species
AUUGAACGCUGGCGGCAUGCCUUACACAUGCAAGUCGAACGGUAACGGGCCUUCGGGUGCCGACGAGUGGCGAACGGGUGAGUAAUACAUCGGAACGUGCCCGAUCGUGGGGGAUAACGAGGCGAAAGCUUUGCUAAUACCGCAUACGAUCUACGGAUGAAAGCAGGGGACCGCAAGGCCUUGCGCGGACGGAGCGGCCGAUGGCAGAUUAGGUAGUUGGUGGGAUAAAAGCUUACCAAGCCGACGAUCUGUAGCUGGUCUGAGAGGAUGAUCAGCCACACUGGGACUGAGACACGGCCCAGACUCCUACGGGAGGCAGCAGUGGGGAAUUGUGGACAAUGGGCGCAAGCCUGAUCCAGCCAUGCCGCGUGCAGGAUGAAGGCCUUCGGGUUGUAAACUGCUUUUGUACGGAACGAAAAGCCUUCUUUUAAUACAGGAGGGUCAUGACGGUACCGUAAGAAUAAGCACCGGCUAACUACG